AACCCUUCAGCAGCUAGUAUAAGAAGUCUGGACAGUAGAAAUAGAGGACAAUUUCCAAGAAGAGGGCGCUCAGGAAGUCACUGUAACACUUUUUGAUGACAUGGAAACUGAAAACAAAGUGAAACAAAAGUU
rnacentral:lncRNA from 1 species